rnacentral:rRNA from 1 species
CCUGAUGCAGCCAUGCCGCGUGUGUGAAGAAGGCCUUCGGGUUGUAAAGCACUUUCAGUCAGGAGGAAAGGUUAACGGUUAAUACCCGUUAGCUGUGACGUUACUGACAGAAGAAGCACCGGCUAACUCCGUGCCAGCAGCCGCGGUAAUACGGAGGGUGCGAGCGUUAAUCGGAAUUACUGGGCGUAAAGCGUACGCAGGCGGUUUGUUAAGCGAGAUGUGAAAGCCCCGGGCUCAACCUGGGAACUGCAUUUCGAACUGGCAAACUAGAGUGUGAUAGAGGGUGGUAGAAUUUCAGGUGUAGCGGUGAAAUGCGUAGAGAUCUGAAGGAAUACCGAUGGCGAAGGCAGCCACCUGGGUCAACACUGACGCUCAUGUACGAAAGCGUGGGGAGCAAACGGGAUUAGAUACCCCGGUAGUCCACGCCGUAAACGAUGUCUACUAGAAGCUCGGAGCCUCGGUUCUGUUUUUCAAAGCUAACGCAUUAAGUAGACCGCCUGGGGAGUACGGCCGCAAGGUUAAAACUCAAAUGAAUUGACGGGGGCCCGCACAAGCGGUGGAGCAUGUGGUUUAAUUCGAUGCAACGCGAAGAACCUUACCUACACUUGACAUACAGAGAACUUACCAGAGAUGGUUUGGUGCCUUCGGGAACUCUGAUACAGGUGCUGCAUGGCUGUCGUCAGCUCGUGUUGUGAGAUGUUGGGUUAAGUCCCGCAACGAGCGCAACCCCUAUCCUUAGUUGCUAGCAGGUAAUGCUGAGAACUCUAAGGAGACUGCCGGUGAUAAACCGGAGGAAGGUGGGGACGACGUCAAGUCAUCAUGGCCCUUACGUGUAGGGCUACACACGUGCUACAAUGGCGCAUACAGAGUGCUGCGAACUCGCGAGAGUAAGCGAAUCAC